GGUAGCGUGGCCGAGCGGUCCAAGGCGCUGGUUUAAGGCACCAGUCUCUUCGGGGGCGUGGGUUUGAAUCCCACAGCUGCCA
rnacentral:tRNA from 1 species